rnacentral:rRNA from 1 species
UACGGGGGGGGCAAGCGUUGUUCGGAAUUACUGGGCGUAAAGGGCUUGUAGGCGGCCAACUAAGUCAGACGUGAAAUCCCUCGGCUUAACCGGGGAACUGCGUCUGAUACUGGAUGGCUUGAGUUCGGGAGAGGGAUGCGGAAUUCCAGGUGUAGCGGUGAAAUGCGUAGAUAUCUGGAGGAACACCGGUGGCGAAGGCGGCAUCCUGGACCAACACUGACGCUGAGGAGCGAAAGCCAGGGGAGCAAACGGG